rnacentral:misc_RNA from 1 species
AAGUCGUAACAAGGUAACCGUAGGUGAACCUGCGGUUGGAUCAUCCGAGAGAGUGGCACACGCAGUGUUACACGCAGUGUGUCGCUCAUAAUAGUUAGUGACUUGUAUCUUUUCUCGUUCUUUUCAGUGAAUCACAGAAAAGAGAGAGAGAGACACGUUCACUUGCAAACACCAAUUCCAGCGAAACGCACAUUUUCUCUGAAAAGAGAGAGAGAAGCACCAAUCUCAAUAACACUAAAACAUGACAAAGAAAGAAACAGAAAUAACUUUUGACAAUGGAUCUCUUGGUUCUG